rnacentral:rRNA from 1 species
UACAGAGGGUGCGAGCGUUGUCCGGAAUCACUGGGCGUAAAGGGCGCGUAGGUGGCCCGACAAGUCUGUGGUGAAAGCUCGACGCUCAACGUCGAGUCGGUCAUAGAUACUGUUGGGCUGGAGCACUGUAGAGGCUCAUGGAAUUCCGGGUGUAGCGGUGGAAUGCGUAGAGAUCCGGAAGAACACCGGUGGCGAAGGCGGUGAGCUGGGCAGUAGCUGACACUGAGGCGCGACAGCGUGGGGAGCAAACAGG